rnacentral:lncRNA from 1 species
UCCGAAGAGUGGGAACAAUCUCUCUUCCUUUCAGUGUCAUCUUUAAAGUGAUUCAACUGUCAGUGAAGAGCUGUUGAAGAUCCAGCCAAACGAAUAGUCGGUGUGUUGAACAGAAAAGAGAGACAAUACGGGUAUCUGAUGCAGUGGGCGGUGUUAGCCUGUGAUGCCUGAAGGUGACUGAAAGUUGUUUCUUAGACAUGGAAGAGACCC